rnacentral:rRNA from 1 species
UACGGAGGGUGCGAGCGUUGUCCGGAAUCAUUGGGCGUAAAGCGCGUGUAGGCGGCCAGGUAGGUCCGAUGUGAAAUCUGGAGGCUCAACCCCCAGCGGUCAUUGGAAACCAUCUGGCUAGAGUCCGGAAGAGGAGAGUGGAAUUCCUGGUGUAGCGGUGAAAUGCGCAGAUAUCAGGAAGAACACCCGUGGCGAAGGCGGCUCUCUGGGACGGUACUGACGCUGAGACGCGAAAGCGUGGGGAGCGAACAGG